UUUAGGUCCAUGCGAAUGGUGAAAAGGGAAUUUGGUGAAAGACCAAAGCUGUCCCAGCAACCGUAAGAUUGACGACCUGCGAUAUGCCACUGUUGAGACUCAAUGGGAAGGCCGCAGCAAGGAUGACAUCGAGCCGGUAGACCUGCCUAAAAAGA
rnacentral:ncRNA from 1 species